rnacentral:lncRNA from 1 species
AAGUCUUAUGCUAAACUUCAAAGGCAAAGAACAGUGUGGGGAAAGUUUCAAUGAGACUCCAAUUCUUAAGCAAAGAAAAAUUUUAAUAGAGUAAAUUCAUGUGACUGCAUUAUGUGUGCCAAAGACUUCAUAUGCCCUUCAUUCCUUCAUAGGCAGAUCACAUCUCAGUAUGGACACGAACGCUACAAGCAUGAAGAAUGAGAAGAGAAGCCAUGUGAAUUGAAACAAUACAGGGAAUCUCUGGUUUCUCUCAAAAGUGUUCACACACAAAUGUUAACACAAACUGGAGAUGGACCCUAUGAAAAUACAGUAUGUGGGAAAGUCAUCAGUUGUUCCAAUGACAUUCAAAGGCAUGAAGAUUCUCAUACUGGGUGGCAACCUGAUGAAUGUCAACAAUGUGAUGAAGUCUCUUCUCCCACAGGUGUUCAAAGACACACAAGAACACAUAGUGGAUGUAAACCUUUUCAAUGUGAGGUAUGUGGGAAAGCCUUUCAUUCCCCCACUUUAUAUAGAAAACAUGAAAGAACUCAUUCUGGAGAGAAAUCCCAUGAAUGUAAAGAAGGUGGUAAAACCUUGGUUUCACCCACAAGUCUUCACAGUCACAUGAUCACACACACUGGAAAAGUACUUUUUAAAUGUAACGUAUGUGGGACAGACUUUGCUUACCGAAGUUUAUUUAGAAUACAUCAGAGGAAACAUACUAGAGAGAAACCCUAUGAAUGUCAACAAUGUGGAAAAGCCUACACUACUUCAUCUUACCUUCAGAUACAUGAACAAAUCCAUAAUGGAGAGAAUCCCAAUGAAUGCCAACAAUGUGGAAAAGUCUUCACUACUUCUUUUUCCCUUCACAGACAUGAACGAACACAUACUGGAGAGAAGCCCUAUGAGUGUAAGCAGUGUGGCAAAGCCUUUGCUCAGUCCUCUAACCUUCACUCACAUGAAAAAACUCAUACAGGAGAGAAGCCCUAUGCAUGUCAACAAUGUGGGAAAGCCUUCAGUACUUCUUCCUACCUUCAGAUACAUGAGCAGACUCAUACUGGGGAGAAGCCCUAUGAAUGUAAGCAGUGUGGCAAAGCUUUUACUCAGUCCUCUAGCCUUCACUCACAUAAAAAAAAAAAACUCAUACAAAAAAGAAACCCUAUGAAUGUCAACAAUGUGGGAAAGCCUGCACUACUUUGUCUUACCUUCAGAUACAUGAACAAAUCCAUAUUGGAGAGAAGCCCAAUGAAUGUCAACAAUGUGGAAAAGUCUUCACUACUUCUUUUUCCCUCUGCAGACAUGAAUGGACUCAGAGAGGAGAGAAGCCCUAUCAAUGUCAACAAUGUGAUAAAGUCUACACUACUGCCUUUUACCUUCACAUACAUGAACAAACACAUUCUGGAGUGAAGCCCUAUGAGUGUAUGCAGUGUGGAAAAGCCUUUGCUGAAUCUUCUCAGCUUCACCAACAUCAACAAACUCAUACUGGGGAGAAGCCCUCUGAAUGUCAACAAUGUGGAAAAGCCUUUGCUAAAUCCAGUCACCUUAAGAGACAUGGAAGAACACAUACUGGAGAGAAGCCCUAUGAAUGUAAGCAGUGUGGCAAAGCCUUCGCUCAAUCCCAUCAUCUUCACAGACAUGAAAAAAAGCAUAUUGGAGAGAAGCCUUAUGAAUAUCAACAAUGUGGAGAACGCCUUGACACAUCCAGUGAACCUCACAUACAUGGAAGAAUUCAUGCAGAAGAGAAACCUAAUGAAUACCAACAAUGUGGAAAAGUCUUCAUUUCUUCCUUUUUCCUUCACAGACAUGAAGGGACUCACACUCAAGAGAAACCCUAUGAAUGUAAGCAGUAUCACAUAGCUUUCACUCAGUCCUCUCAUCUUUGCUCACAUGAACGAACUCAUACUGGAGAGAAGCCCUAUGAAUGUCAACAAUGGGGAAAAACCUUUCUUAUAUCCCAUCAGCUUCACUUACAUGAACAAACUCAUAUUGCAAAGAAAUUGUGCUGAUGAAAACAAUUAUCAAAGUCUUCUGUUAUCACUGUUCUUCUCAUCAACAAGUUGGAAGUAUACUGGAGAAAAAUUCUUUAAAUGUGAAAUGUGGUGAAUCAAUAUUUCUUGUCACCUUCAAACACAAAAAAAGGCUCACUCUGCUGAAUACUGUACUGGGGAUUGUACUGGAGUUUUGGUCUGGUGGCACUCUACCACUGAGACACAUGCUCAUUCUUUUUUUAUAUUUUUAAUUUUGAGACAGGGACUUGCUGAGUUCCUUAGGGUCUUCCUAAAAUGCUGAGGCUGGCCUCAAACUUGUGAUCCUUCAGCCUCAGCCUCCCGGUCUCUGGGAUUAAAGGCAUACAUCACCACAACUGUUUGAAUGUGAAAAAAUAUGUUGUCUUCAAAACCAUUUCACUCGCUGGAAAACAAACACUCUGAAUGGGGGCGAUUUGCUACAGUUUAUCAGCUUCAUGUUCCAGACCUAUUUUUCUUCUCUUUUAUGAAAAUACUCGUGGAGAGAAGCCCUGUGACUGUGAAAAAUGUGGGAAAUCUUUUAAUUUUUGCAGUUUAUUCUGAGUACUAGAAAGAUUAUUUUGGAAAGAUUCCUGCCAAAAUGAAUAAAUCCUAUGCAAGUAAGAAAUACAAAGGGUUCACUUGUUUUAGUUUUGUUCAGUUGUAUUAAAAACAAACAAACAAACAAAAAAAAAAACUUUAGAAAAUCCUGUGGAGGGCUGGGGAUGUGGCUCAAGUGGUAGCGCACUCGCCUGGCAUGCAUGCAACCCGGGUUCAAUCCUCAGCACCACAUACAAACAAAGAUGUUGUGUCCGCCGAAAACUAAAAAUAAAUAUUAAAAAAGAAAGAAAAUCC